GACGAACGCUGGCGGCGUGCUUAACACAUGCAAGUCGAGCGGUAAGGCCCUUUCGGGGGUACACGAGCGGCGAACGGGUGAGUAACACGUGGGUGACCUGCCCUCAGCUCUGGGAUAAGCCUGGGAAACUGGGUCUAAUACUGGAUAUGACUCCAUGACGCAUGUUGUGGGGUGGAAAGCCUUGUGCGGCUGGGGAUGGGCCCGCGGCCUAUCAGCUUGUUGGUGGGGNGAUGGCCUACCAAGGCGACGACGGGUAGCCGGCCUGAGAGGGCGACCGGCCACACUGGGACUGAGACACGGCCCAGACUCCUACGGGAGGCAGCAGUGGGGAAUCUUGCGCAAUGGGCGAAAGCCUGACGC
rnacentral:rRNA from 1 species